CACUGUUUUUUAUUGCUUGUAAGUCAAUAUGUAAAACAAGAUUCGAAGUUAUGUUUCCAUAUCAAUGUUGUAAAGGAAUGGAAACGCUGUACGUAGUUUUCUGAUUUUUCUAGAUACAUGUUUUUAUUUUAUUAGAUCGUAAUGGCUCUGUGGUUAUUCCUCCAAUUAUUCCGAUCCCAUCAUCACCAGCCACAAGUGAAACUUCUUUUGAAAAUGAUGAUGGAAAUGUUCAUAGUGAAGUCAGCCCAACUAAUAAUAAUGCUGGUAGUAGAAUGGUCUAUGGCUUAGAAGAUUGGUACGCAGCUGAUGAUGAUGCUCUGGAAUCAUUUAUGUCCUCCACAACUUCAGAAGGUGAAAAUGGUGAUGAGGAACUUAACGUAGAAGCUGCAGAAUCCCCAGAAACAAGUACAACAGUUACACAAGAUAAUGAGUCAACAACAGUUGCACAACAACAAAAAGG